UGAUGCAUGGAUUAUGAAAUCUUCAACCAAGAUUUUUUAAACAAUUUUUUUCAUUCAUCUUUAGGUGUGAAUGAAACAAAUUUCAACAAAUAUUUUUUGUAACAUUUUGUUAAUUUACAAAUAAUUUAUUACAUGUCCAUCUCAGUGGACAGCGUGCAUUCUGAACAUGGAAUAUGUUGGCUUGACUUACUGAAGUCCAAAUGGAGGGGCUCAAAUGCAAUAAAGUCUUCAACAGCUGUGCUUAAUAGCAAAAAUAAAGAAAUAACAAUUUUGAGUACCUGUCCACUGUAGUGACCAUUAUGUAUCAAAGGGUUAAGUAAGAUGGAUUAGCUACAUGGAAUAUUGGGUAACAGAACAGAAGAAUAAAUGGGAAAUGGCCUGUAUUUGUAUAGUGCCUUCUUAGGGUUCUACAACCCCCCCAAGGCGCUUCACAACACAAUCAGUCAUUCAUCGAUUCACACACACAUUCACACCCUGGUGAGGAUGAGUUACGAUGUAGCUACAGCUACCCUGGGGUGCACUGACAGAGACUAGGCUGCCGAGCACUGGGCCCACCGGUCCUUCCGACCACCACCAGCAGGCGAGGUGGGUUAAGUGUCUUGCCCAAGGACACAACAAAAUAAAGAACCAUUUAGAUGACUUUAGAAUAGAAUAGAGUGUAUUGAUCUCAAAGUGGGGAAAUUCACUUAUUAGGGCAGCACAUACACUUGGAGAAUAGGAAGAAGUAAUAUAGGUAAAUACACAAAGGCUGUAAGCUGUUAUUGUAAUCUUCAGUAAUUAGGAUGUGAUUGGUCAGGACACUACUGGAUCGCCAAGAGGCCUCCAUACACACGGGAUACCGUAAUUCUGCACUGGCGUUUGAUGAGUUAAUAUUAAUUUGAGAACUUGUUAAACCACAUUAAAGGAGACAUAACAUGAAAAACCCACUUUUUUAUCCAUUAACACAGUGUGUUUCACAUUUUAAGUGUCUAAGUGAGCAAAAAGGCUUAUAUUAUUCACUGGAGUUGCUAUUUAGAUAUUUAAUAAUUAAGUUUUGGGCAUAUUUGUCCACCCGUUCAGUUUUUACAUAAUCUAUUACAUCAGUAAUUAAUUUAGUGAGGAUAACUACCAAAUAUGGUAAUGGCCCUCGGCUAAACACAGAGCCAAUCCGCCAUUUUUUCUUCUCGCUAAGAUUUUUUGUAGUCCUAUUGGAAAAAUGCAGAAUGUCUGGUUAUUUUAGCCACACACAGCUCAAAACUGUUCCUCGUUUUAAGGAAGGGUGGUGUGGCAGUAUUUAAACCCAGGAGCUGAUGACACUACUGCUAAAAAAACACAGAAGAAAAAGUAGUGUGUUUGUGUUUGUGCUUGUGUGUGUGUGUGUGUGCGCGCGCGGUUCGUUCUUUCGUGUCUUCAGGCUAGUAAGUACUGAGGGCUUCAUCUAUCUAAAAGGAGUCAUUUUUAUCUGAAUGUGGCAGCACCGGGACACAGCAGCAGAGCGAAUAUGACGAUGACAUCAUGGAACUGGUCUUUGGAAAAGUUUUCCCUGAACCAACUCCGUUUCUAGAUGAGGUAGAGAAGAUCUGCAUCUCACCAACUCUCUGGUCUCAGUAUUCAGACAACGGAGGUCUCCCACUGUUAUCCAGGACCAGUUUGAAGCCCACAUACUGCCCCUCCCUCAUCAUCAGGAAACAUCAAUCCGUAUCCUGAGGACAACAGAAGACGGCAGGAGGACAGGAACUCUGAGACCUAGACACCACCAGCACCGAGACACAAAUUACCUGUGUGCACAAAGCCUGUUUAACUACUAAAGCCUGUUUAACUACUAAAACCUGUUUAUUAUAUUGUUCUACUUAUUUGCUGUGAGGUUAAUACUUAGAAAAUUUGUAUAUUAAUGUAAACAAUUUAAAAAAAAUCACUGAUUGUAUGUUUUCUUUUAGAUGUAAUGGUCCAAACUCAGCCUUGUAGACAUUUAUUGCAUCCUGUAGGUAAAUACACAGAACAGGCUCAGGUCCAGGAUGACCCAGCAUGCUCUUCUUCCAUUCUGGCUGUUAGGGAUUUUAUCAAUAACUCAAUGCCUACUGAUGUUUUCACCUAACGGUAUUUAUUUAGAAUGCAGGUAAGAUUUAACUAUAUUUGUUAGCAAAGCAGACUGAUCUUGGGAAUUUCACUGCAGCACUGAUGUCCACCUCUCUGUACACAUUAGAGAGAAUUACCACUUUACAGCUAAACACAUUUAAUAAAGAUAUAGGCUACGCAUUGCAGACAAUAAAAACAAAGUUGUAAGCAUUAGAAUUAUAAUGAUCACAUUAAAGAACAUUUGGAGGAA